AUAAAAUUCUCAACCUAUUGGCUAAGACCAAGAGUAGUAUCUGUUCUUUUCACUUUAAUAUCUGAUACGUCCUUUAUCUGAGGACAUUUUUGUUGUGUUAUUUCUUUUCUUUUCUUUCUUCCUUCCCCCCCCCCCCAGACAGGAUUUCUCUGUGGCUUUGGAGCCUAUCCUGGAACUCGCUCUUGUAGACCAGGCUGGUCUCGAACUCACA
rnacentral:snRNA from 1 species